rnacentral:rRNA from 1 species
UACGAAGGGGGCUAGCAUUGCUCGGAAUCACUGGGCGUAAAGGGCGCGUAGGCGGCCAUUCAAGUCGGAGGUGAAAGCCCAGGGCUCAACCCUGGAAUUGCCUUCGAUACUGUUUGGCUAGAGACCGGAAGAGGUAAGUGGAACUGCGAGUGUAGAGGUGAAAUUCGUAGAUAUUCGCAAGAACACCAGUGGCGAAGGCGGCUUACUGGUCCGGUUCUGGACGCUGAGGCGCGAAAGCGUGGGGAGCAAACAGG